AUUGAACGCUGGCGGCAGGCCUAACACAUGCAAGUCGAACGAGUGGCGGACGGGUGAGUAAUGUCUGGGAAACCGCCCGAUGGAAGGGGAUAACCACUGGAAACGGUAGCUAAUACCGGAUACUAUCGGAUGUGAAAAGAUGGGAUUAGCUUGUGGGUGAGGUAACGGCUCACCUAGGCUACGAUCCCUAGCUGGCCUGACAGGAUGACCAGCCACACUGGAACUGAGACACGGUCCAGACUCCUACGGGAGGCAGCAGUGGGGAAUCUUGCACAAUGGGCGAAAGCCUGAUGCAGCAAUGCCGCGUGUAUGAAGAAGGCCUUCGGGUUGUAAAGUUCUUUUAUCGGGGAGGCGGUACCCGAACAAGAAGCACCGGCUAACUCCGUGCCAGCAGCCGCGGUAAUAC
rnacentral:rRNA from 1 species